GACGAACGCUGGCGGCGUGCUUAACACAUGCAAGUCGAACGGAAAGGCCCUGCUUUUGUGGGGUGCUCGAGUGGCGAACGGGUGAGUAACACGUGAGUAACCUGUCCCUGACUUUGGGAUAACUUCAGGAAACUGGGGCUAAUACCGGAUAGGAGUUCCUGCUGCAUGGUGGGGGUUGGAAAGUUUCGGCGGUUGGGGAUGGACUCGCGGCCUAUCAGCUUGUUGGUUGGGUAGUGGCUUACCAAGGCCUUGACGGGUAGCCGGCCUGAGAGGGUGACCGGACACAUUGGAACUGGGAUACGGCCCAGACUCCUACGGGAGGCAGCAGUGGGGAAUAUUGCACAAUGGGCGGAAGCCAGAUGCAGCAACGCCGCGUGCGGGAUGACGGCCUUCGGGUUGUAAACCGAUUUCGCCUGUGACGAGACGUGAGUGACGGUAAUGGGUAAAGAAGCACCGGCUAACUACGUG
rnacentral:rRNA from 1 species